CGAAACCGAUAGCGAACAAGUACCGUGAGGGAAAGUUGAAAAGUACUCUGAAUAGAGAGUUAAAUAGUACGUGAAACCGCUUAGGGGUUAAGCCCGAUGAACCCGAAUAUCUGAUGUGAGAAAUUCAAUACGAUUCGAAUUCAUAUUUUUAUAUUGGAUUUGUAUAGUAUGCACUUUUCUCAUAGUAAGACAUUGUAAUCCAUUGAUAUUAUAUCUCAUAUAUGAGAUGAUUUAACAUACGGACAAAAUGUUUAUGAUUAUUCUAUCAGUGAUAUGUUUACAUGUCAUAUGAAUAAAAUCGUUUUUGAUUCCUGUUUAAAUAGUCGAUGGAUUUUUCAUUGAAAUCAUGCUUGCAAUUUAUUUUGCGUUUCGUAUUAUUAAUUUUUAAUUGGUGAUAGCAGAAAUGGCAUGUAUUCGAUUAACAAUGCGAUAGAUUUGGGAUACUUUCAGGACCCGUCUUGA
rnacentral:rRNA from 1 species